rnacentral:lncRNA from 1 species
GCCCCUUCAACCAGAUCACUUCCGCUGAAAGUUUGCAUCUCCCAGUAUCAGUGUUGGGGAAGCCAAAUGAAAUCUAUCAAUCCCAGUUCAGAAUGUAAAGAAACUGAAGAUCCUCUUUCCCCAUAUGGAUUAUUAUAUCAUCAUAGCAUUUGGAGAAGCCAAGAUCAACAAAAAAGCAGUUAGCAGAAUUGUACAUGGCGAUCAUCAGCAGUAUGAAGAGGAGCUGUGGGGCCAGUGAGAGAAGCUGCAGCCUGUUGAGACUCCACAAGACUGAAGAUAUGAAAAGAGGAAAUAUGCAUGAAUGCCCGCACGGAGAACCACCCCCACCUGCUGCUCCCGCUCUAAUGAUCACGCCCAUUAUCAACUGGGGGAUGGCUCUGUGCCUUGUCCUUGCAUUACAUGGACCAAGAACACUUCACAGGACUCAGAGAGUAACACUGAAGAAUGCAGUUUACUUACAUCUUUUUCUGUUUGACAGAAGACAGUUAUUAGAACCCGAAAGGAAGAAGCUAUACGACUGGGGACACAUGUCUUAGAAGCACACUCAUUAGAUAAAGUGUCGCAUACUCUUUGAUAAGGUAAGGCUCCCUGGACGAGAUGUUUUACAGGUACCAUGAGCUCAGUGAAUUGCUUUUGGAAAGACACUCAGCGGAGUGGGCACCACGAGGUUAGGAGAAGCAGCUUCUGCUCGUCAUAACUUUGGCAAAUGUUUACACAUCAGUAAUGAAAAAUAUUCUCUUGGCGAUUUCAGGCUUGUUACUAUGGAUGUUGUUUGCUAACAUUGACUAUUUUUCCUAACUGCUUAUAGAAACUCCAGGCUGUCACCCAUCUGUUCUCUCAUCAAAGUAGUUUUGGGCCAGCAACUAUUUCAGACAUUUCUACAGUUUCAGAUGUCUCACUCUGCCUAUGACUGUAUGUUGUACUUGAGGACUGGACGCACAGGGUAAAGUGCAAAUAGCAAGCAUUCAGGUCCAACUCUCCUCCUUCUGGUUAACAAUAUGAAAGAAAGAGGUAGUAUCGGAAUUAUUUUAGUUCAAUGUAGCCAU